GAGGGGCAUGGAAAAAUCUAAUUUAUGCUACCACCGUGGGGAAAAUAUUCUACGUUCCACACAAAACGGUUGUUUGAGUCAAAUUUCUUUUGAGGUAGUUGGAAAAAGGAGUUCAGUCAAGGCUGCAUCCAAUAACUAGUUAGCUUGAAAUAAUCAUUAGCUACUCAACUGUUUCCCACUGGAAGAACUGAUUGGUAAGCUAGAUUGGAAUUCUUGUCAAGGCAAAUCAAGGUAGGAUUAAGACUUGGAACACCGUUGACCAUAAUUUUAGAUAGAACCUAUUGCUGUACCUCUACGAUGAAGUGAUGAGGUGGUAGGAUAGCUCAGGUCGCCAGCCAAGCUGGAGUAGUCGAGUAUUGAUCUAGACCUUGAGG
rnacentral:lncRNA from 1 species